rnacentral:lncRNA from 1 species
GCCAUCUCCAUUUAUCUCUAAACAAAGUAUGGUUGGUUACAUGUUCUGAAUUUACUUAGAAUUCCGGAUUUUUUUCUCAAAACUAAGUUUUCUGAAUCAGAAAAAAAUCACACUUUUCUUAGUCGAAUACCUAAAACUUGCAAAAGAUAUGAAAAGGCAGGAUAAGCAACUUGGCAAAACAAAAAGGCCGGAUGACGAUUUAUGUAAAAAAAUUCCGGACAAACUAAUAAAAAAGGCAGGACCAAAUAGACCGAAAAAUAAAAAGACAGGACAGAGAUUACAACUAAAAAAAGGAACAAAAUGUUUCAUCCAAGUCCCCCC